rnacentral:rRNA from 1 species
CGAACGGGUGAGUAACACGUGGGUAAUCUGCCCUGCACUCUGGGAUAAGCCUGGGAAACUGGGUCUAAUACUGGAUAUGACCUUUCUCCUUAUGGGGUUUGGUGGAAAGUUUUUCGGUGUAGGAUGAGCCCGCGGCCUAUCAGCUUGUUGGUGGGGUGAUGGCCUACCAAGGCGACGACGGGUAGCCGGCCUGAGAGGGUGAUCGGCCACAUUGGGACUGAGAUACGGCCCAG